UACGGAGGGGGCUAGCGUUGUCCGGAAUCAUUGGGCGUAAAGCGCGUGUAGGCGGCUCGAUAAGUCUGCUGUGAAAGUCCAGGGCUCAACCCUGGGAUGCCGGUGGAUACUGUCGAGCUCGAGUCCGGAAGAGGCGAGUGGAAUUCCUGGUGUAGCGGUGAAAUGCGCAGAUACCAGGAGGAACACCAAUGGCGAAGGCAGCUCGCUGGGACGUGACUGACGCUGAGACGCGAAAGCGUGGGGAGCAAACAGG
rnacentral:rRNA from 1 species